CUGAAAAGCACACAACUUAAAGGUGUACGAGAGAGAGUGAUGUGAGAGCGAGAGCGGCUGAUUGACUGUAACAGAAACACACACAGAUGCACAAGCAAACAGCAGUAUAAGCAUAAGCAGCAAUAACGACAACAAGGCAAACAAACCGGCGAAGCAACAGAGCAAAAACAAAAGCAAAAACAAAAACAGUGAAGCCAGCAGAGCAGUCGACACUCAAGCGAGCGAUUUGGCUGUUCAGUGUGACAGUGACUGUCGUACGUUGUGUUGUGUUUUGUGUAUUAGACUGUAGACCAAACAAAGCUCAAGAAAAAAGAGCAAAUUGUGUUAACAACAACAACAAAAAGCCAAACAAAUAAUAGCGUGAAAACAGCAAAAAAACUUUACGCCAAAAAGAGCACAA